rnacentral:rRNA from 1 species
AACGAACGCUGGCGGCAGGCCUAACACAUGCAAGUCGAACGCCCUAGCAAUAGGGAGUGGCAGACGGGUGAGUAACACGUGGGAACCUUCCCUAUAGUACGGAAUAGCCCAGGGAAACUUGGAGUAAUACCGUAUACGCCCGAGAGGGGAAAGAUUUAUCGCUAUAGGAUGGGCCCGCGUCGGAUUAGCUAGUUGGUGAGGUAAUGGCUCACCAAGGCAACGAUCCGUAGCUGGUUUGAGAGAAUGACCAGCCACACUGGGACUGAGACACGGCCCAGACUCCUACGGGAGGCAGCAGUGGGGAAUCUUGGACAAUGGGCGCAAGCCUGAUCCAGCCAUGCCGCGUGAGUGAUGAAGGCCUUAGGGUUGUAAAGCUCUUUUGCCGGGGACGAUAAUGACGGUACCCGGAGAAUAAGUCCCGGCUAACUUCGUGCCAGCAGCCCGCAGUAA